GAGUAUCAGCAUCCUUGGCAAAGGCAGCGAUACCAGUGGACAACUUGACUACAGCCAUUUCGUCGUUGUUAAAGUCGAAACGGAACUUGGGCUCAUCAGUAAGGUAGGAAACCUUCUCCAAAUUGAGGCUGGAAGCCUUGGAGGCAUCAAGCUUCUUGGGGACAGCGUCGGUGCUGUUGUUGAGCUGCUCAAGAAGGGCGGGGGAGAUGGUCAAAAAGUCAACACCAGCGAGUUCCUUGAUCUCACCGACGUUACGGAAAGAAGCACCCAUGACAAUGGUCUUGUAACCGAAUUUUUUGUAGUAGUUGAAGAUGUUAGAGACACUGACGACACCGGGGUCUUCUUGAGCGGUAUAGUCACGGUUAUUCUUAGCCUUGUAGAAAUCGAGAAUACGACCGACGAAAGGAGAAAUCAAGGUAACGUUAGCCUCGGCGCAAGCAACAGCUUGGACAAAAGAGAACAAGAGAGUCAAGUUGCAGUGGAUGCCCUCUUCCUCG